GUCUAUAGCCAUACCAUCCUGAACAAGCCCGAUCCCAUCUGAUCUCGGAAGCUAAGCGGUGUUGGGCCUGGUUAGUACUUGGAUGGGAGACCACCUAGGAAGACCAAGUGCUGCAGGGG
rnacentral:rRNA from 1 species